CCCUUAGACGUUCUGGGCCGCACGCGCGCUACACUGACCAGUGCAACAAGCAUCCGUCCUUGGCCGACAGGCUCGGGCAAUCUUUGAACGCUGGUCGUGAUGGGGAUAGACUUUUGCAAUUUUUGGUCUUCAACGAGGAAUUCCUAGUAAACGCAAGUCAUCAACUUGCAUUGAUUACGUCCCUGCCCUUUGUACACACCGCCCGUCGCACCUACCGAUUGAAUGGUCCGGUGAGGCCUCCGGAUUGGCGCGCACCUCGGUGCCGCCGAGAAGUUGGCUAAACCUUACCAUUUAGAGGAAGGUGAAGUCGUAACA
rnacentral:rRNA from 1 species